GCAAAAAAAAAAAAGUUUUCUCUCCUCUGCAAAAGGCGGGCAGGGCGCCCUAAGUCCAAGGACAAUCCAUGGAAGUGUUCGCUUCUUCACAAGUUGUGCAAACGAUUUGUUAGUUCAUGAGCCUAAUUAGUGCGGGGAUCACAUAAACAGCUUCCUCCGAAGCCUGGUAAAUGGCUUGAUGAUUGGUCGCUAUUACUCGCCCUGAGGUGGAAGGGGGGAGACUCUUUAAAGUGCGUCAGAGGGAGGCGAGCGCCUGGGAACCCGGAGGCCUGGAUCCCGGCCGAGUGUGGAACGGAGUCGGCGCCGCUGCCUCGGCCGAGCCUCCUGCGCCCGCCAGGCCGCCGGCCUCGCCGCGCCUUCGCCCCGCGCUCCCAGCUCACUCGCUCCCGCGGCGCCCGCUGCGGCUUCUCCUCCUCCUCUUUCGCCUCCUCCUCUUCCUCCGGCGUCUUCUCCUUCUCCUCCUCCUCCUCCUCCUCCUCUUCCUCCUUCUUCUCCUCCUCCUCUUCUUCCUCCUCCUCUUUCCCCACCUCCUCCCCCUCUGCCACCGCCUCCUCCUACACUACCACCACUCCCUCCGGGGCACCCCGGUCCCUGCAGAGUCCCCGGCCCGUGCCGCCUCUGCUGCGGCCCCCUGGAUCCCGAGCUGGUGGGACAGACGGACGGACAGACACGCAGAUGCCUGGCGCCUAGCUCUCGGCCGCCGCUGCCUCCCGUGGCCCCGCGUCGGGGAAGCGGGGAUCGCCCCGGGAGCACCGCGAGGGUAAGCAGGCAGGGGUGGGUUCCGGGCGAAGGCUAACGGAGCUGUUCGGUUACACCAGUUCCCACCCCCAGCACAACUCCCGGCGGUUUCCCAGGCCCCAAACCGCUGCAGGCUGAGCUCUGUAGAUUCCGGAAUCCACGCUCCGCCGGCAGCUGGACGAGCAGACCCCAGAUGAAGGUUCGAGUCUCGGAUCUGUCACUUACUGGCUGGGCAAACACCACAACCUCUCCCGACCUCCAUUUUGUCACCGGUGCAAAUGCGGCCAAGACUGCCUGCGAGGCAGUUGGAGCAGUGGAGGGUAGAAGUCAGGCCUGUUUUGAGGCGUAACAACCCUUCUACUUUUGGCCACCGUGGUAAUUACGCGUCUCUGGGCGUUUUUCAAAACUCAUAGACCUGUACACUGUACAGGGUGAAUUUUACUGUAUGUUUUACAGAACCCGUUCCAUCCCCCCACCCCCACCCCCACCCCCGGG